rnacentral:rRNA from 1 species
AUUGAACGCUGGCGGCAUGCUUUACACAUGCAAGUCGAACGGCAGCACGGGCUUCGGCCUGGUGGCGAGUGGCGAACGGGUGAGUAAUAUAUCGGAACGUACCCAGAAGUGGGGGAUAACGUAGCGAAAGUUACGCUAAUACCGCAUACGAUCUAUGGAUGAAAGCAGGGGACCGCAAGGCCUUGUGCUCCUGGAGCGGCCGAUAUCUGGUUAGCUAGUUGGUGAGGUAAAGGCUCACCAAGGCGACGAUCAGUAGCUGGUCUGAGAGGACGACCAGCCACACUGGAACUGAGACACGGUCCAGACUCCUACGGGAGGCAGCAGUGGGGAAUUUUGGACAAUGGGCGCAAGCCUGAUCCAGCAAUGCCGCGUGAGUGAAGAAGGCCUUCGGGUUGUAAAGCUCUUUUGUCAGGGAAGAAACGGUAGAGGCUAAUAUCCUUUGCUAAUGACGGUACCUGAAGAAUAAGCACCGGCUAACUACGUG